AAAUAAUUGCCCAGGUGUGGUCUUAAGACUUCUCAGCUGGGGUAGGCUCCAGCUCACGUGCAACCCCAAUGAUGACCUUACUUUGACUUGAUACUCCACCUGUAAUAGGACAGCAGGCCGUUGCUGAGGACGAACCACCGGCGCUGGUAGCCCUUCAGUGGUGUGCUGGUGCAGCGGGGACUCACCAGUGGAGGCGGAGAGCGUGGAGGAACGCCGACAAACCUUCCAUGACCAGCAGGAUGGACACGGUGAGUAGCGCAAAGACGCCAAACACGGGCACUAAAAACACCACCCCGACUCGCGUGGUGAUCUUGAAGCCGAGGCGCAUCACCAUGUCCCACAGCACCUCAGACAGCUCUGGACGGACAAGCAACCAAGUCCAUGACAAUCAUCACAACUUGGCGCCUCGACGGAUUAGUGCGGCACUUACGCGCGUGCGCCAAGCUGAGAGCCCAGAGUCGCAGGUACGACGCCGUGUUGGAUAUGCAGCCCAGGCAGUACUCGAUGGUGUGGAUGGCCUGGUGCAGGAGCACGUCCGCAAAGUCAAACUGGACAACAAAUAAUACAACAAAACUUGUUGUCAAUUGAAACUCAGCGUUAUUGUCUUUUAGUAUUUUUCAAUGUUAUAUAAAAGGUCCCACAUCCACAAUCUGGCCUUGAUGCUGGAAUUGACACUGUUUUAAA